UCUAUUUUAGGGUUCCCGAUCCCCAAUUCCUCCGCGGGUUCCUGGGAUCAGGCUCCGGUCUCGCCUCCUUUUAUCAAGCAGCGGCUGCGGGUUCUUCUAGAAUCGAUCUAGAUGCUGGCCCCGGUCGCUCCCGUGGCGCCGCUGAGGAUCGUGAUGUGUUUUCUUGAUCUUCUCUGUUCGGCUGCUCCGCAUCUUCAUUACUAUGCCGGAGGCUGAGUGUGAUAAGAUCCUUGGAAUUCCUAGGAAUCUCUCUUAUCUCCGCAUCCUCAAAGAUAACUUUGGCCACAUAUGCCAGGGAUUUACAAACCAAAUUUAUACCAGGAUAUAAAUUUUCUGGGUACCAUAUAUUUGUCACAAUAGCUGGAGCUCUUUUCCGGGUCAUAAAGGGUGUUAUUCUUGUGGUUCUCUUUUCAACAUCAGGCGCCUCAUUGUGGUAUUUUCUCUCCAAGUUGAUCGACAGGUCUUUGGUAAGUUGGAUAUGGCUGGAAAAGUUGAGAUUUUUCCAAGCAGAGAUUAGCAGAACGCUGGGAUAAGCUGCUUAACUGCAUGCUCAUUUUGAGGAGGUAACAGAGGGCAGGAGGAUAAAAAAAUCUGUGAUAACUUAAACACCAUCGUCACUAAUUGUCAUGGAUGACAAUUUCUGUGACAAGACCUGGAUUAUUAACCCCCUUGUGGUUCCCUCCAGGCUCUUCGUCAAUUUCCACAGCGAAUCGUAGGCUUUCGCAUUAAUCUCAACCCCCAAGAUGUGGUUUAUCAGCGCCGUCCUCAUUCUGCUUUGCCGCCGACCAACACUAACACUAUUGUGGGCACAUCUUUGGAGUCAAGUUUUUCGUCAUUUCCUCCGGUCCCAUCUCUUGACUCUGAUGUUCCUAUUGCACUUCGAAAGGGUAUGCGUUCCACUCGUAAUCCUUCUCCUCACUAUGUUUCUUUGAGCUAUCAUCGUCUUUUCCCAUCCUAUUAUUAUUGUCUGUCUUCCUUGUCGUCUGUUUCUCUUCCAAAGAUUGCAGGUAAUGCCUUUGCCCAUCCAGGAUAGAAACAGACCAUGCUUGAUGAAAUGAGUGUCUUACAGAGGAGUGAGAGUUGGGACCUCGUUCCUCUACCUCCUGGGAAGUCAGUGGUUGGUUGUCGAUGGGUGUUUACGGUGAAAGUUGGUGUAGACGGCACGGUUGAUCGACUUAAGGCUUGUCUUGUCGCUAAAGGUUAUAUCAAGUAUUUGGAUUGGAUUAUGGAGACACCUUUUCUCUUGUUGCCAAGAUGUCUUCUGUGCGUCUUUUCCUGUCUAUUGCUACAAUUCGUCAUUGGCCUCUUCAUCAAUUGGACAUCAAAAAUGCAUUCUUACAUGGUGACCUGCUCGAGGAAGUCUA